GUGUGAGCAACCUGCCUUUCAGAGGGGGACGAACAGUUGGAAACGACUGCUAAUACCGCAUAAUGUAUUGGAAGGGCAUCCUUUUGAUACCAAAGGAGCAAUCCGCUGAAAGAUGGGCUCACAUCUGAUUAGCUAGUUGGUGGGGUAACGGCCUACCAAGGCUGCGAUCAGUAGCCGGACUGAGAGGUUGAACGGCCACAUUGGGACUGAGAUACGGCCCAGACUCCUACGGGAGGCAGCAGUGGGGAAUAUUGGGCAAUGGGCGAAAGCCUGAACCCCCAGCAACGCCGCGUGAAGGAAGAAGGUCUUCGGAUUGUAAACUUCUUUUAUGAGGGACGAAGGACGUGACGGUACCUCAUGAAUAAGCCACGGCUAACUACGUGCCAGCAGCGGC
rnacentral:rRNA from 1 species